rnacentral:rRNA from 1 species
CCUACGGGUGGCUGCAGUGGGGGAUAUUGCACAAUGGGGGAAACCCUGACGCAGCGACGCCGCGUGAGUGAAGAAGGACUUCGGUAUGUAAAGCUCUAUCAGCAGGGACGAAAAUAGACGGUACCUGACGAAUAAGCUCCGGCUAACUACGUGCCAGCAGCCGCGGUAAUACGUAGGGGGCAAGCGUUAUCCGGAUUUACUGGGUGUAAAGGGAGCGUAGACGGCGAUGCAAGUCGGAAGUGAAAUACCCGGGCUCAACCUGGGAACUGCUUUGGAAACUGUAUGGCUAGAGUGCUGGAGAGGUAGGCGGAAUUCCUAGUGUAGCGGUGAAAUGCGUAGAUAUUAGGAGGAACACCAGUGGCGAAGGCGGCUUACUGGACAGUAACUGACGUUGAGGCGCGAAAGCGUGGGGAGCAAACAGGAUUAGAUACCCUUGUAGUC